rnacentral:misc_RNA from 1 species
GAUGAAGAACGUAGUGAAAUGCGAUAAGUAAUGUGAAUUGCAGAAUUCCGUGAAUCAUCGAAUCUUUGAACGCACAUUGCACCUCUCGGUAUUCCGGGAGGUAUGCCUGUUCGAGCGUCAUUUGUACCCUCAAGCUCUGCUUGGUGUUGGGUGUUUGUUCCGCCUCUGUGUGUGAACUCGCCUCAAAACAAUUGGCAGCCGGCGUACUUGUUUCGGAGCGCAGCACAUUUUGCGAUCCAGAUCAACGUACAGCGGCAUCCAAGAAGCCUUAUUUAACGCUCUUGACCUCGGAUCAGGUAGGGAUACCCGCUGAACUUAAGCAUAUCAAUAAGCGGAGGA